GCCCUUUCUCGCGGCGGCGGGGCGGCGGUGCCUGCUGGAGGGUGCGCGGGCCCGGCUCCCCUCAGGCAGCGGCUCGCUAGCCGAGGUUUGGCGCGCAGGGCCCGGCUUUCCGUGAGUCCGCGCUCGGGGGGAGCUUUCCUGCUGGAAACCCGGCCUGGAAGAGCGUCCUGGGAUCUCGGGUGAGUUGACAGGAAGGAAGGUGAUAGCUAGCCUGUGAAGGGGGCCAGAAUAAAUGACCAGCACCAUCCAGAAGAAGGUGGAGAGCCCAACACCGGGAUGAGUACACAAGACUGGGGCUGAGAGACCCACUGAUUUCAGGUGAAUAAGAGUAAUAUGUGUUGCUUUUUUUUUUUUUUUUUAAGGCAUUUUUGCAAAACGUUGAAAAGCAGUUGAGUGUGCUCAGCUGGAGUUUGCCCCCAUGAGAUGGCUCUGUUGGGGCCCACGCAACAGGAACCCUUAAGAGAAGGGCUUAGUAGAGACUGUUCGGACUCCAGGAAAUCCAAGCAGGCUAAGGCUUAGGGAAGGGGUCCAGACAAAUGGGGCGUCUGUGCCUUUGCUUCUGAUGCAGUGAUGAUUUGCAGAGGCACCCCCCAGUGGCCAGUGUGGCCCUGGCUCUGCUCUCAGUUGCCUCAGGGACAGGGCACACCCCAGCUUGGAGGUGCCAGGCCUUCAUGUGUCCUGUGUGCACCUUGUGUCGGGGGCUGAGGAUGAGGAGGAUCUUCCCUGCAGGGUCUUGGUUCUUAAUCCAGCCAUUGUGUUCAAGGGGGAAGUAAGAUCUUCACAAGCAGAGCACAAGCUGGGUGGGGCUGGGGGACAGGGAGGGAGCAUCUGAAGCAGAGUCCACAGCCUGUGGGGAGCCUGACACAGGGCUUGAUCCAUGACCCUGACAACAAGACCCGAGCUAAGACCAAGAGUUGGACGCUCCACCGACUGAGCCGCCCAGGAGCCCCAAUUCCUUUUUUUUUUUUUAUGAUUUUAUUUAUUAAUGAGAGGCACAGAGAGACACAGAAGCAGAGACAUAGGCAAAGGGAGAAGCAGGCUCCAUGCAGAGCCCAAUGCGGGACCCGAUCCCAGGACUCCAGGAUCACGCCCUAGGCCGAAGGCAGAUGCCCAACCAAUGAGCCACCCAGGCGUCCCAGGAGCCACAAUUCUAAACUUUUUUGUGCUAUAUUUGGAUUAUUCCUCCCCUACCCCACAAGGAAGAAAAAUCUAGUUGGGGAAAAAGAUGUAUGUAGGAUGAGUUUUAAGGUAAGCUGAAGGGUUGAAUGAUUUUUUCAAUAAAAGUGUUUCUCUCGGCAAAACUUGAAAA